rnacentral:tRNA from 2 species
GGGAAUAGCUCAGUUGGUAGAGCACGACCUUGCCAAGGUCGGGGUCGCGAGUUCGAGUCUCGUU